GUUUAUAGUAUUGGGAAGUUAAGAAGGUAUGGACUAAUGAACCUUCAUUACAGCGGAUUUUAGCUAUGUAUGUUUGCUGGUGAUGUUUGAAGGCUUCUCGCUAAGUGUUUGCCACACUUGUUGCUGUGCUGGUAAUAUACAUGUUUAGUGAUUAACAUAGAAUGUUUAGCACAGGUGUAUAAUAGGUCGUUCAGAUGCAGGCUGGUAUCCGUCAGUUCGUUAAGAGUGUCAGGGGCGAGGACUUGUUUGUGUCAUUGUUCAAAAGCUUGCAGUUUUGUUAAGAGUGUUUGGAUGUGUUUGGACUUUUGUUUUCUGUCUGUGGUGCCUAUUCCCCCUUAAUCACGCAUUUGUGCACAUUCCACAGUGUCCACGUGUU